UAGGGAAUCUUCGGCAAUGGGGGGAACCCUGACCGAGCAACGCCGCGUGAGUGAAGAAGGUUUUCGGAUCGUAAAGCUCUGUUGUUAAGGAAGAACGAGUGUGAGAAUGGAAAGUUCAUGCUGUGACGGUACUUAACCAGAAAGGGACGGCUAACUACGUGCCAGCAGCCGCGGUAAUACGUAGGUCCCGAGCGUUGUCCGGAUUUAUUGGGCGUAAAGCGAGCGCAGGCGGUUAGAAAAGUCUGAAGUGAAAGGCAGUGGCUCAACCAUUGUAGGCUUUGGAAACUGGUUAACUUGAGUGCAGAAGGGGAGAGUGGAAUUCCAUGUGUAGCGGUGAAAUGCGUAGAUAUAUGGAGGAACACCGGUGGCGAAAGCGGCUCUCUGGUCUGUAACUGACGCUGAGGCUCGAAAGCGUGGGGAGAGAACAGG
rnacentral:rRNA from 1 species